rnacentral:lncRNA from 1 species
GGAUGUCUCAUAAAUAAUUAUUUACGAAGAGUUUUGACCAAAAGUUGAAUGAUGUUUCAUAGAGUUGAGUCACUUAGUAGCCCUUAGAAUUUAUAUAUAAUAUUCACACGUCCCAAUAACCCACAUGCAGCACGGGCCAACAACUUAUCAACUUCUACCACUACUAUUCUUAGUCGAUCUAGGGCACAACAGCUACCCUUACUCCUUCCUGACUUGGAGGCCAAGUCGAGUACGCCAACAACAUACUCGCGUUUGCGUUAAGCCCUCUCAGUGCAUACGAUAUUGCCGGCCAAAGAUUUUGUGAAUGAGCAAAUUAUUGUUUUGUGAUUCAUCGAGAAGCUCGAAAGGGUGAUGAGCCUUUAGAUACCACUAACUUGUCACCACAAAAUAGAAAACUAAAAAAAAGUUAUUGGACUAGUCAAAAUAGGUCACCACAACCCAACAACAUAAGGGUGUUGAUUAUUAUACAAAUCUAUAAAAUUGAAAGUGAACAAGAACAGUGCAAGGUGAGUGAUCAUCAUGUGCCACGCUAAAAGAUCGAGAAACUCACCAAGAACUUCAUCCUCCUAAGUCGAGAAAAUCUAAUACAUCACUGUUGAACUUACAAGAAUGAAAGUCCUGGUACCAUGAUGGUGGGGUCUGUUUGCCCUUGCAGCGGUACAACCGUCUAGUGUAGCAGGAGAGGGGGAAAGAGAGAGAGAUAAAUUAGUCAUGGGAUUGUUGAGAGAAAAAGAUAAAAGAGGAAACAUAAGAAGGAAAGAUAGAGUGAAGUGGAUCGUCACAAAAAAUUAUCUCUGAUAACAAUGUGAAUG